rnacentral:rRNA from 1 species
AUGGAAUUGAUGGAAUCAGGAACAUCAUAUUGCUUUCAAGUUGAUCAACCUCUGCCCUUUAUUCAUGGAAGAAGCAGCCGAGUGAGGACGACCUGCUCUCUUCUCUAUCUGGUAUAUUGUCCGGUUUGGUACCUCAUGUUGGCAUGGAAUUUAAAAAUUCAGAUGAAGCUUGAGCAUUUUGGCUUAUCUAUGGUCGUAAAAAGGGCUUUGGGGUCAGGAAAAGGUGCACGAACAAGAGAUCCGCCGAUGGCAAGGUUACUUCAUGCCAAUUUAUUUGUGCAAGGAAAUGGAAUGCUUAAUCUCUUUUGCCAAACAAAAUUCAGUUAUCCUUAUCAAGUCUGA